rnacentral:rRNA from 1 species
UCCGGGAUGUUCAUAACCCUUUGUUGUCCGACUCUGUUGCCUCCGGGGCGACCCUGCCUUCGGGCGGGGGCUCCGGGUGGACACUUCAAACUCUUGCGUAACUUUGCAGUCUGAGUAAACUUAAUUAAUAAAUUAAAACUUUUAACAACGGAUCUCUUGGUUCUGGCAUCGAUGAAGAACGCAGCGAAAUGCGAUAAGUAAUGUGAAUUGCAGAAUUCAGUGAAUCAUCGAAUCUUUGAACGCACAUUGCGCCCCCUGGUAUUCCGGGGGGCAUGCCUGUUCGAGCGUCAUUUCACCACUCAAGCCUCGCUUGGUAUUGGGCAUCGCGGUCCGCCGCGUGCCUCAAAUCGACCGGCUGGGUCUUCUGUCCCCUAAGCGUUGUGGAAACUAUUCGCUAAAGGGUGUUCGGGAGGCUACGCCGUAAAACAACCCCAUUUCUAAGGUUGACCUCGGAUCAGGUAGGGAUACCCGCUGAACUUAAGCAUAUCAAUAAGCGGAGGAA